ACAAAUUCAACUAAAAUAAUUCAUUUAAACAAUUUAGGCGAUCGCAACUUUUGGAAAGAAUUUGAAUUCUGGAAGUGGAAGUAACUUCAUGGCAGUUUAAAAGAUGGCGGACCUAUCGAUUAAAAUUGCACAAAACCGAAGAGAAGCGCGUAGUACCUACACCUGCUCUUCAAAAUGGUUCAUGAACCAGUAAUCGAUACCUCGGCCUCCUGUCACAUUUCUCCUCCACGAAAAACUCUGUUCCGGCGGCUACACAGAACGGUUGAAGUCGAUGGACUUAUCACGAUUGCUGUAGACAGAGCAUUGUCGUGAUGUGAGAUGUGUGGCCUAACAGUAGGGGUAAAGGAAAAAAGAAAAGGUCAACGGACACCACUGACGGAAGGAGCGGAGUUGGGAUGCUGACGCUGAGGGGGAAGAGUACUGCCCAAACGUCAACCUGCGAUGAUUUUUUGGAAUAAUACAAUGGGGCAUGUGCUUCACAUGGUUCCAUCGUAACCAGUGCAGAACAAGACGAAAGUAGUACACAAAAAGCAAGAUACCAAGACAAUGUUGUUGUAGCGUUCAUCUCCUUUUUGAUCGUCUCCAUGUCCUCCCUAUACCGAUCCAUCCAGUUUCGCAACUCCUUAUUGGACGUGGCGAGCAGAGCUCGUAGUUUUUGGCCGGCGGCGGAACUUUCGUUUUUCAAAAUCUGCUUGGCCUCCGCUAGAGCGCUUACGGCUUCCUCAACCAGCAAAACCAUCUGCUUCUUGUCCUCCACGUGCCACUUCCGUUUAACGUAGAACGCGUUGGCCAAGAAAAGCUCGUGGUAUAAAACUCCUGAAUACAACGUUAACCUGCAAACAACUAAAAUAAGCUAGCGCUUCAUAGAACUUACCACCGACCUGGCGUUACCCGGAUCCACUGUUUUUGUGACCUCGAUUAGCUCCCGACACAUUUCCGACUUCUUAAUAAGUAACUCGUCGCUUAUCUGGUUCGGUAAGUAGCCCUGUUGGUAACCGUAUAAUUGUAACAGUGAAUGUUUAACGGAGUAGAUAUGGUAGUGGUGGGGAUGUAGGAAGGUAAGGAUCUUCGUUAGGAGUUCCCUCAUUUCCUUCACGGUCGGAUUGCUGAGUUGGACGUAAUCGACUUCCUCGCCAAUUUUGUUAACGAGAUAGGCGACUUCAUCGUUUGUAAGUUUAACCUCGCACUUAUCACAGGCCCAUUCUGUAUUCGGAUCGCAGGGAUUUAUUGCAAGUUGGUUGCCUCCGCAGGGUCUGUCAUCGACUCCAAUACAUUUAAGCGCACUGAGGUAAGUUCCAAGUUCAGUUGGGUCUUUACAUCGGCGACAGUUGCACGAGAAGUAUUUGGUUUCUUUCAAGUGUUCCCUGCGGGCCUGCGUACCCCAAAGGGCGUGCGUGUACAUUGUUGAUAUAUGUUCACCUUUUUUUAUGGGUACCGCUGCUCUUACAGUAAUUUUAUAGUUCUGUGAUGCAUCAUCGAAGACGUGGUACGUGUU